rnacentral:lncRNA from 1 species
UAUAUUACUAUCAAUUAUUCGGGGGGAGGACAUAUACACCUAUACCCGAAUAGUUGAUAGAAUAUAAUUUGAUUGAAAACUGAAAAAAAAAAUUAAAAAUAAUGAAAAAUAUUAAAUCUUAAGAGCCAUCGUUAGCAUGUAUUAGGCAUAUAAGACCCAUCAUCAGCAUACAAGAUCACAAAUGCAUGAGAUCCUAUGAUUUAUGGUGUGCAGACGAAAAAUAGCCAAGGAAGCAGACAAUAAGGCUGCAGUGUGUCGUAGACACUAUCAUUAAAACACAAGACUACUCCCAAGAUGAAGGAAGCCACGUUCGUAUGCAAACAAAGAGAAGUGGCAGCCAAAAGACCCCUUAUCACCAUGCAUGCAUGCAUCCAAAGGCUAUAAAAGAAGCCUAGGACCUAUAAAGACCUAUAAAGGAGGUGCAUCAUGGACAUGGAGAAAUGUGAGGUAAAUAAUGCAUGGGAGCACUAUUUGAGCCAGCCAUGGUGCCUAUAUAAGGAGGCUCUUUGCAGCAUUGGAGGAGACACAACCAUCGAGCACAACACAAGCCUUCAGAGCAGCAAGUAGUUCAGGGCAGUUAGCCAGAAAACUAUCUGCUCUCUAGUAGUAGUAGUACUACUUCCCACUGUAAUAAAGCCUGUGUAAUCAAGGCAUUUGUAACAUAAGACUGGGAAGGUAGUAAGGUAAUUUCUUUAUCUUUGUGUGAACCCUUCGGGGGUUCCCGAAAGGGAAAACCGUAUGUAAGCUAUAUUGUGAAAUGAAGUAGUUUAGUUUUUUCCCUCGGUCUUUUUAGCAUGUUUAUAAGGGUGGGUGCUUAUGCUAGGGAUCCUAUAGGAGAAACCUCUGCGUGUAGUUCUCUGUUAAAGCCGUGUGUAUGGCGUUGAAAUGAGAACCUUGUAACCGUAGAGAAGUGUUCCCUUCGGGUGGAACUGCCUGGGAAGACGAUAAGAAAUCACCCAUAUAAACAUGACUCAAGACGCUUAGGAAAAUAAACUUAGCUACUCCUGAAGCAAUAUAGUAAUAAAUACGGUGAGUACUGAGUAGGAUUAAUACAUCACUGCGAAAACCGUCGGUAGUUCCGUUGGCCUCACCAGCCUUAAAAGAUCCUGCAAAAAGAUAAUCAUAAUAUUAAAAUAUUUAAUAUUUAAUUUACCAUAUAACCUAAUAUUAGCCGAAAUAAUUUGAAUAUUAACGUAUCUAAUAUCUAUAUCAAUUGCAUAUUUGUGGUAUCAGAGCGAGGUUGUAACCAUUGAAAGAUUAAAGUAUCUAGACUUAGAAGUUAGCGCAGGUAAAGUUAUACAUACUAAAGAAAAUAUUGAUAUAAGGUGCAGAGUAAAUCCCUCUGAAGAGCAUAUUUGGCAUUCUACUCAUAGUCAGCUAAAUACAGUUGUUGAUUUAAUAUAUAAUUUCUUUAUAUCUUGGGGGAAAAGGCAAGAUAAUCUAGACAAAAAAUUUGAUAAUAUACUUAAAGAAUACCAAAAACUUGCAGAAAAGUACUAUAGUUUGAAUAAUAAAAUUGAUAUAGUUCUGCAUAAGCUAGAAGAAGCCAAAACAAAACAAAGUAUAGUUUGUAAGAAUAACGAUUACAUUAAAGAAGAAGUGUUAUCCAUUGGAAAAAGCAUAGGGCACUGUCUAAAUAAAAAUAAAGACUCUUUACCGAGCACUGAAACAAGACAAGAUAUAACUGAAAUUAAAAGACUAGUACAAGAAGUAAAAUCUUUGAUCCUCUCGUAAUUUGUAUGACUGAAUAUAGCCAAGCAUUAAAAGAAGUAGAAAAAUAUAUAACGCCGUCAAUUGGCUUUUCGGACCACGAUUCUCCAAAGGAAGACUCAAAAAUAAUAAUAAGACAAAACAAUACAAUCCUGCAGUUAUUAAUUUAGAUUUUAGAUAAGCUAAAUAGUGAUCAAAGUAACAAAAAUAUUGUGUUAGCAUCAUCUGAAAUAAUUGCAUCACCAAGGAAUAUUAAUUCAGAAAAAUGGACUUAUCUAAAAGCCUCAUUAGAAGAGACAGAAACCUCCAAUUAAUAAGACAAGAAACAAAUCCGCUAACAAUGAUGCAUAGGAUGUCAUGCAGCAAGGCUGAUGAUAUCGAUAGUUUAAAAGAAGUUAUAGACUUAGAAAGAGAUCUAGAAAGGUAUCAAAAAGAUACAUUGAGAAAAAUAAAACCACAACAGGUAUACCACAUGGGUUUGUUUGAAGGGAGUGGUGGAUUAUAUAGAAUAUCUAGAGAAGUAGAGUUAAGUGUGUUAACACAUCCAGUAGAAUUAAGAAUUGUGAGUAAGAAUAUUAAAAAUGAACUCAAAUAUUGUGGGUACAAAUAUAUCCAUCAAGGUAUGUAUAUCAUAGGAGUUAAAGAAAUGACAAGAAAGAAAUUAGGAGCAAAGAUGCUAAUAACAUUAUUACACAAAAGAUGGGGAUCAGUAGAUAAAGCUUCAUUGGGUUUUAUGGAAGGAGAUAUGAAUGAAAACAGAUUAAUAACCUAUAUAGCUCCAGACUUAAUGAUGCCUGUGAAGGAAUUUAUCGAUAAGAUGAGUCUUGGGUUCCAAACUAAAGGCUAUGAAGAAUUUAAAGGUACAAAUCUAUUAGUAAGUAUAGAGUUUAUAGGAAGACUAACUAAUAAAAGCAGCUCUAUAUAUAGAGUAAAUGUAGACGAUGUGAUUGAAAGCAUGCAAUCAAAAGGUAUAAAAUUCAUGAGUCCUCUUAAAAUCAGUUCUGAAGAAAGAGCUGGAGAAGAGUGGAAAAUAAGCGAGCUAAUUGAAAAAAAGGAAUUAAAGCAACCUAAUAACUACAUAAGUUACCAAAACUGCGAAGGAACCAGCAGCAUUAGAUUCACAAAUUAUAAAUCUGCAACCAUAGAUGAUACUGAAUCUUUUGCUUCUGAAUCAGAGUUUAAUGAAAAUAAAAAUAGUGGCGUAACUGAAUACAUGGAAAAGGCAGAUUUAAAUGAUGAAAUAACUCAUUACGAAGGAAAAUUGAAACAUAUAGAAUGGGAAUAUAAUAAUUCUAUGACAAAAGAUUGGCCUAAGAUAAGAGUAAAGGAAUUGUUUUUCAUUAGAGAGAUUGCAAGACUAAAAAGAUUAAGAAAUGAGAAAAAACCUGUCAUUGGAAGUUCAAUCAGACUAAAUAAGAACAUAACGAUAAAAGAAAAUAAGGUUGGUAGUAGUAAAGCCAAUAAUACAGACCAGAGACAUAAAAAUAAAGAUGUAGGUGAAGAGGAGCAGUGGGACAUAAAUAAUAAAAUACUAACUGAAAGUUAUGAAGAAGAAGAAGAAUUGAUAAAAGAUACGCUUAAAGAAGAUGAUGUUUUUGAUGGAUCUGAAGAUAAUAGUGACUUUAUAAACUCUCUAGAUGAUGUAGGAAUACACAAUUUAGAAAAUGCAAUGGCAGCUAUGGAAGUAGAAAUGAAUAACAAAAGAAGAAGGACAUACGGUGAUACUUCAGUAAAAACAGAAGGAGAGAGAGAAAGACCAAGAAGAGCAGCCGGAACAUGGCCUCCAGAAAAAGAUGAUUUCCAACCAACAUACAUCCCUAAACAAUAUAGAUAUAUGGGUACUAAAAGAAGAGAUUUUGAAAAACCAGUACAAUUUCAAAAUUAUAAGAACGAGGGUGCAAUAUUAAAUCUAGCAGCCCAUGACCCAAUAGACUGGCCUAAUAUAAUUAGCAUAUGGAAAGGUUUAAUAGUUCAAAAAUAUAUACAAAAUCAGCAUAGCAUAGGCAAUAAGGUGGAAGAUAUGAUAACCUAUCUUGAAACCUUUUUAGGAGAAUCUGUACAAGUUUUAUGGGAACAAUGGGUAGAAACAUUUCCUAGUCAAUAUGAAGAAUUAAAAGCAGCUGGAAGUAAUCCCCAUAACUUCGCUAAUAUUAUAUCACUUAUAGUCAUAGUAGAAGAUCCAGAUUUAGGAAAUACCACAUUGCAGAAUGAGAGGUUGCGAGAAAUAGAAAAAUUAACGUUAACAAGUUGGAAAGGUAUAAAAGAAUUCUCUCAGCAUUAUUUAUAUAAUGCUACCACCGCUAAACAAGGCUUUAAUAAAGGAGUAGUAGAAAGAUACUUUAACAAAUUGCCUGACCCUUUAGGAUCUAUAAUAUUCGAGGAAUAUAAGAAACAAACAGAGGGUUCGGUUUCAAAUAUAUCUCAGGCCAUUAAUUUUGUUUUUAAGCAGCUAAGAAAGGUAUGUAUGGAUAUACAAGCUCAAAGAUCUAUGAAAAAAACAGACUAGAAUUUUUGCAAUAAUAUUGUUCAAAUACCAUUAACAUACGGAGAAAAUAGGCAUAAAAAUAAAAAAUAUUACAAACCCCAGAGGAUAGAUAAUAGGAACUUUAGGACAAGGAAAAGAUAUUUUCUAAGAAGAUCUGAUAAUAGAGCUCCUUAUCUACAUAAAAGAAAUGUAAGAAGAUAUGAUCAUAGAAAAACUUAUGAUAAAACAUGUAGGUGUUUUAUAUGUAAUUCACCAGAUCACCUAAGUAAAACUUGUCCUAAUAAAGAUCAGAAAAGGUACUCUAGUAAAUAUGAAGAGCAAGAAAGAGUAUUAAUUAUAGAUAGUGUUAAUGAAAAUAUCCUAGUAUGCGAUGAAGAAAUAAAAGAUGAUGAGUCGAUAUACUCUAUGAUAGAAACAGAUGAAGUAGAAAAUAAUACUUUAGAAGAAGAAUCAAGUGAAGAUGAAAUAGACCUAAUAGAUGAUUUAGCCGGUUUAAAAAUUGAAAUGAUGAAUCAAGUAGAUUGUGAACACGAUUGGAUUAGAGGUAAAGGAGAUUAUAAUAUAAAAUGUGUGUUUUGUAUAUACUAUCCAAGCCAAGAAAAUAGGUUUACAUGUAGUUUAUGCUUAAGACAAGCUUGUGCCUCUUGUUUGAAGGCUAGAAAUCAAGCCUGGAGACAAGAAAUAGUUUGUGAACCAGAAGAACGAAUCCUAUUUAGUAGAGUUAGAAAUUUAGAGAAUAGAAUAAAUAAACUAGAAGCAGAUCUAGAAGAGGUAAAAUAUAAUUUAGAAAAUAAUAGUACUAAUCAAUAUCAAGAGGAUAAUAUGGUAAAAAAUACUGAAUUAAAGGAUCAAAUGGUGACCGUAAAAGAAAGGAAAGGAGAUAGGCUUAUCCAACUAAAGGACGCCAUUACUAGUUUUGGAAACAAAUAUAUAGUACGGUUACCAUUUAAGGAGGUUCUGGGAAUAAGAAUCCCAGUCAAAAUAGUAUUAAAACCAAAUAUUUCCUAUAAAAUAUUAGCACUAUUAGACACAGGGUGCACAAAGAACAUCAUUCAUGACAAGUAUUUUGCGAGAUGCCCUGAAAUAGUUAAAACUAUAGACAAUGAUAAAGCUGAAGUCUCUACAGACAUGUCAGGAAUACAAAAGAUUCACAAUCAAUUGGCCUAUAAUAUUGAAUCUUAUAUAAAUGGAACAAAAUAUAUUAUAGAUGAAAUUACAAUUAGAGAUUUGUCAGUAAUAAAGGAUGACAUGAUACUGGGUUUAAGAUUUUUACAACAAUCCUUACAAACCACUAUUAUACAUGAAGAAGGAGUUACAUUCAUCCCAUAUCAAGAUAACAUUCCAUACAUAUAUGAGAUUAUAAGACAGAGAAAAUCCAUACAAAAUGCAGAAAUAUCUAAUAUAGAUGAAGAUUAUAGUGCCGACGAAGACUCUCUUGAAAUCUGCAAAGAACAAGAGCUUAGUAAUGCCAUAGAAGAAUACCAUAGAAAAAAUACAUGUACCGAAUGUAUAGGUUUACAAUAAUUCUCACCAAAUUGGUAUAGAGAUAUAAAAACCAAGAAAAGAUAUAGACAAAAUAGUGCAAAAAUUAGAAGACAUACAAAUCAUUGGAGAAAUACCAAUGAAACAUUGGGAUAAGAACUCCAUAGUCUGUAAGAUAAAUAUUAUCAACCCUGAUUACAUAAUCAAGUCAGGACCAAUAGAAGCUACUCCCAAGGAUAUAGAAGAAUUCAAAAUGCAUAUUGAAGAGUUAUUGAAAUUAAAAGCCAUCAGGGAAAGCAGAAGCCCUCAUAGGUCAGCUGCCUUUAUAGUUAGGAAUCACGCUGAGGAAGUCAGGGGAAAAUCUAGAAUGGUUAUUAAUUACAAGAGACUUAAUGAUAAUACAAUAGACGAUGCAUUCAAUAUACCCAAUAAGCAAGAAUGGAUUAAUAGAAUACAAGGAAGCAAAUAUUUUUCUAAGUUUGAUUUAAAGGCCGGGUUUUGGCAAGUAAAAAUGGCUGAGGAAUCUAUUCCUUGGACAGCAUUUACAUGCCCUCAAGGUCAUUAUGAAUGGCUGGUAAUGCCCUUAGGAUUAAAAAAUGCGCCUGCAUUAUUUCAAAGGAAGAUGCAAAAUAUAUUUAAUGAGAAUCAAGCAUUUAUAUUAGUAUAUGUAGAUGAUUUAUUGGUUUUCUCAAAAUCAUACAAGGAGCAUAUUGCUCACCUUGAAGUCUUUUUUAGGAAGGUAGAACAAAAUGGACUAAUAUUAUCUAAAAAUAAAAUGGAGAUUUGUAAAGAGAAAAUCAAUUUUCUUGGGCAAGAAAUAGGAGAAUGAAAAAUACAUCUGCAAGAGCAUAUUGCAAAGAAAAUUUUACAAUUUCCUGAUUCUAUGAAUGAUAAAAAGGUUCUACAACAAUUCCUAGGGAUUGUAAACUAUGCAAAAAGUUAUAUAGAUAAUCUAGCAAAACUAGUUGGACCUUUAUAUGCUAAAUUAAGAAAGAAUGGGCAAAGGUAUUUUAAUUCUGAAGAUAUAAAGUUAGUCAAGGCCAUAAAAGAAAAGGUCAAAAAUUUGAAACCUUUAGAAUCGCCAUUAGAAGAUUAUUACUUUAUAAUCGAAACCGAUGCAUCUAAAGUAGGUUGGGGUGCUAUAUUAAAGCAAAAACCUAAUAAGUACUCUCCAAAGGCAGAAGAAAAGAUAUGUAGAUAUGCCUCAGGAAGUUAUAAAUUAAAAACAGUAAAUAAUAUUGAUAGAGAAAUCCUCGCGGUAGUCCAUGCAAUAAACGCGUUUAGGCUAUACUUAGGAUUUAAAGAAUUUACAAUACGCACUGAUUGUGAAGCAAUAUGUAGAUACUAUAAUCAAAUCAAUAGUAAGAAAAGUUCUACUAGAAGAUGGGUUUUAUUUGAAGAUAUCAUAACUGGAAAUGGAUAUAAAGUUGUUUUUGAGCAUAUUAAGGGAAAAGAUAAUUGUUUACCUGACAUAUUCUCCCGUUCAUCAAUCUUGCAGGAAUGAAGCGUGGAUUGCUUCCCAAUGGGGUGGAAGUAUUUACCUUUGGAAAUGAAAACACUCUGAAAAUAUUUCCCCCGAAUACAUUCAAAUUUAAACCUAAGGGACAUAUUGCCCUCGAUGAAAUUCAAGAAUGCAUACUUGACAAUUUCUGGUUACAAUAUAAUAAUAAAAGAGAAGAAAAAGGCUAUAUGCUAUCAAUUCUGAAUAGCCUGGCUGAAUAUUUCAAUAUGUUGAACAAGAAGUUACCAAUAUCAGCAAACAUUGCAGUGCAAGAAUAUAAGCCAUUAUAUGUACUAUUUGAUGGAAUCAGACCUGGAAUAUAUAUGACUUUUGAGAAAAUAAUAAAAGAAAAGCUAGAUGCAAGGAAAAGGAAAGAGGACAUAACAUGGAAGAAAUAUGUUGAUGUCAAUGAAGCAUUGAGUAGAGCAAGAAGUAUGAUAGGUGAAAAUUAUUACAUAGAACCGAAAGCCAAAGAAUAUAUCCAGAAGAUCAAAGGUGAAGAAAUUUCUUCUUCAUCAAAUACGAAGAAUGUAAAAGAAGAAACAUUAAUAUUAAAGAAGGUAAAAGAAGAAUAAUCUCCUAAAUAUCAAACAUACAAAGACUGCCUAAUAAAAGGAGUGGAUCCUUUAGACUCUGAAUAUAUAGAUCUGAAGAUAAACGAAGUAUUAGAAGAUGCCUCAAAAAAAUGGAAAGAAGAGUUAAAAGAAGAAAUUUUCAAAGAAUUACGACUUGAACUCAUGCAAAAAUUUGAAGAAAUGAAAAAAGAACAUGAUUUAAAAAUUGAACUAAAUCUUUCAAAAUUUGAUUUUAAUCUUUCAGAAGAUGAUCACAUGGAUAUUGCAGCCACGGGCAAAAACCAGAGUUUUAAUUGAUAUUACUAUCAAUUAUUCGGGCGGGGAGGACAUAUACACCUAUACCCGCAUAGUUGAUAGAAUAUAAUUUGAUUGAAAACUGAAAAAAAAUAAUGAAAAAUAUUAAAUCUUAAGAGCCAUCAUUAGCAUGUAUUAGGCAUAUAAGACCCAUCAUCAGCAUACAAGAUCACAAAUGCAUGGGAUCGUAUGAUUUAUGGUGUGCAGACGAAAAAUAGCCAAGGAAACAGACAAUAAGGCUGCAGUGUGUCGUAGACACUAUCAUUAAAACACAAGACUACUCCCAAGAUGAAGGAAGCCAUGUUCGUAUGCAAACAAAGAGAAGUGGCAGCCAAAAGACCCCUUAUCACCAUGCAUGCAUGCAUCCAAAGGCUAUAAAAGAAGCCUAGGACCUAUAAAGACCUAUAAAGGAGGUGCAUCAUGGACAUGGAGAAAGGUGAGGUAAAUAAUGCAUGGGAGCACUAUUUGAGCCAGCCAUGGUGCCUAUAUAAGGAGGCUCUUUGCAGC